GGAGAAGUUAAUAUUAUUGUUAUGCGGCAGCUAGGAGGGGGACUGGUUAUGACUUGGAGGAGGGCGCAGCCACAGCUCCUGUCAUGGAGGGAAUCUCCAUGGGACACUUGCUUCCUCGGGCACCAUAGGAGCAUUGGUGGCUUGGCUGAUCAGCUAUAAGCCAGGCUUGUUUGGGUUCCUAUUCCUUCUGCUGUUGCUUAGCAACUGGUUGGUCAAGAAUGAAGUCCAGCCCACCCCCCUAGAGCCCCAGCAGGAAGAGGCAGAGAAACCCAAGCCACCUGAAGCGAAACCCAACAGCUGCGUCAUGAACACAAAAGAAGUCGAGAGACUACAUGCCUGCUUUGCCCUCCAGGACAAGGUCCUUGAACGGCUUAUGUUCAGCGAAAUGAAGCUGAAGGUCUUAGAAAAUCAGAUGUUCGCUGUAUGGAAUAGAAUGAAUCGCCACAGGAGGUCAAGCCGGCAGCGGACUUUUCCCAUGAGGAAACACAGACUGAGGAGGCACGACUCAAUUUUCUGCAUCAUCUCUGAUUGUACUUCGAAUUCCCCUUAAUGAGGUCAGAGAGACUGGGGUGGGCUGGCCUCUUCUGGUGUUACCCUUACUCAGUAAAACCCAGUCAGAGACUAGUGAGUUUUCUCAGUAAACCACACUGGAGAGCAUA